UCCUUUGUGGCUCAGCUGGUAAAGAAUCCACCUGCAAUGUGGAAGACCUGGGCUCGAUUCCUGGAUUAGGAA
rnacentral:tRNA from 1 species